CGCGAUCGUCUUGACCCGGAUCCCUAGGGCGGGUCUCAAGACGGGAUAAUAUCCCCAACAUUAGGCCCUGAUGACCCACAAGUAUAGGAGAUCUAUCGUAGUCCUUUCGAUAAUUAAGAGUGUCGAACCCAACGAGGACCACAAGGAUCUGACAAGUGGUUUUCAGCAAGGUAAUAUCUGCAAGCACUGAAAUUAUCGGUAACAAAUGGUUGUGUGGUGAGAUGAUUCGUA
rnacentral:lncRNA from 1 species